AAGUCGAAGUGGAUCUGAUUCGAACCGAACCAUAGAAGAUUCAACUCGAACCGAAGUUUAUUCGAUUCGAACCGAACCAUAGAAGAUUCAGCUGAAACCGAAGUGGCACUACUACAAAUUCAUGAUUUAGCCGCAUUUACUCCGCAGCAUUUAUUUAAAUAACGCUAAUUAAUAUAUUUAACAGCAUUACUUGAUAAGUGCUGCUAAAUUAAAUAAUUUAGCAGCAAUUUACUAUUAAUGUUGCAAAAUAGAAUAAAUUAGCAGUAUAAAUUAGUGAAUGCCACUGAAGUUUUCAGCAUUUUAUAAAAAAUGACACUAAAUGUAAUAAAGUAGCAGUACUUAUUGCUAAAUGCCGCAAUAUUUGUUCCGCAACAUUUAUUUAAAUUAUGUCAAUUAAUAUAUUUAGCAACAUUACUUGAUAAUUGUCGCUAGAUUUAAUUAUUUAGCAGCAAUUUACUAUUAAUGUUGCAAAAUAGGAUAAAUUAGCAGCAUAAAUUAGUGAAUCGCGCUAAAUAUAAUAAGGUAGUGGGUUAUGUUGAUUAUAUCUUGCGGGUAUUUAUUGCAGCACUUGUUACUAAAAUCAUUACUAAUUAAUAUAUAAUUAAUUAAAAAUUUUAAAAUUAAAGUUUAAAAUUCGAAACAUAUAUUUAAAAAUAAACUAUAAUUUAAAAUUUAAAAUUUUAAAAUUUAUAUUUUAAAUUUUAAAUUAUGAAAUUAUUAAUUUUUAAAAUUUAAAAUUUAAAAUUUAUUGUAAAUUUCAAAUUUCAAAUUUAAAAAUAUUAAUUUUGAAAUUUAAAAUUUCAUAUUUCAAAAUUAAAAAAAUUAAAUUUAGUAUCUAAAUUUAAAAAUUUAAAAUUUAAAAUUUAAAAAUUUUAAAAUAGAAGACUUAAAAUAUAAAAAAUUAAAAUAUACAUAACUAAUAGUCGCUAGCGCAAGUGGCAAAGGGCUUGGUUGUUGGUACUCGAGGUCUCAAGUUCGAAUCCUAGUUGAUUUACAUUUCCAGUAAAGUUUAAGACGAAAAAAAAAAUCAAGCGGGUAGCAUCUCAAAAAAAUUAAAUAUAAAAUAAAAUUAUAAUUUUAAAAUUUUAAUUUCUAAAAUCAGAUAUUUGUAUUAGCGGCAUUAUAUUUAUGUGCCGCUAAUAAAAAAUUUAAAAUUAGAAUUUAAUCCCUUUUAACGGCAUAUCCCUAAUGACACUAAUUGAUUUAUAUUGGCAGCAUUUAUAAUUAAUGCUGCUAAUACUUUUAGCAAUAUUGGCAUAGGCAACAUUUGGUGUCAUAUGCUGCUAAAACUUUUAGCAGCAUUUGUUGAUCAUUUAGCAGCAUAAAUAAAUGCCACUAAUGACUAAUUUUCUAAUAGUGUGGGUCCGAUCUAAACCGUACUACAUGAAGAUCGAACUAAACCAAAUCAAACCAUAAGUCGGGUUCAACUAAAAUAGAUGUAUGGAAUAUCCGAGCCGAGCCAACUAGAGCCGAACUACUUCAACUUGAUUCGAAGUUGGUUCAAACCAAACAAAACUAUAAGAGGGUCCAAGUUUAGCCAAACCAUAAGGGCUUGACCUAAAUUAAAUUCAAAGAAUCUCGAACUACACAUAUGGGUUCGACCUAAACCAAGUCUUAACGGGUCCUGAACCAAGGCAUACCCAAACCAAAUUCAGAAGGACCAAACCAACCUAAGGCGGCUCAACCCAAAUCAAACACAAAAGGUUCAAGCCAACUCAACCUGAAUCCAACCUAAUCAAUAGUCCAAUCCAUUUCGUACUAUAAAUAAAAUCCAAAGUCCACAAAUAAAAUUCCAAAACCCAAUGUCACGCCACGCGACCCGCCUAUUUGGUCGGGUUCGGGCACGCCGACAGACCGUCGAACGGACAGAGUUUUUCCUGUACGUCCUAGGCGUCGCAAUCAAUACAAUGACGAGAUUCCAGCCAGGAACACAUUUCAAUUAAAGAUUGCAUAAGGAAGUAUCAAAAACAUAAAACUACUUGCUAUUACAAGCAUUCACACUAGAUACAUUCUUUAAUCACAAUUUUCUUUUACAUGUAACUUCCAAAU
rnacentral:lncRNA from 1 species